rnacentral:rRNA from 1 species
UACGUAGGAGGCGAGCGUUGUCCGGAGUUACUGGGCGUAAAGGGUGCGCAGGCGGCUUGGCAAGUUUAGGAUGAAAGCUCCUGGCUCAACUGGGAGUCGGUCUUGAAAACUGCCGAGCUUGAGACUCGGUGAGGGGCGUGGAAUUCCGGGUGGAGCGGUGAAAUGCGUAGAGAUCCGGAGGAACACCGACGGCGUAGGCAGCGCCCUAGACGAGUUCUGACGCUCAGGCACGAAAGCUGGGGGAGCAAACAGG